rnacentral:sRNA from 1 species
GGUGUUUUUUAAAGUGUAGGAUUAUUGUAUACACACUCUCCUAAUAACUCAGGUAAUGCAGGCAAAGGGCAAAUCUCUUUCAAGCUGCACUUACUUCUUCAGAGCUUCCCACUCUGUUUAGUAUGUUGAGUUCUGCUCUGUUUUUGAGACAGAGUCACUCUCUGUCACCCAGGCUGGAGUACAGUGGCAUAAUCUCUGUUCAUUGCAACCUCUGCCUCCCGGGUUCAAGCAGUUCUCCUGCCUCAGCCUCCUGAGUAGCUGGGAUUACAGAUGUGCACCAGCAUGCCUGGCUAAUUAUUGUAUUUUUAGUAGAGAUGGGGUUUCACCAGGUUGGCCAGCAUGGCCUCGAACUCCUGGCAUCAUGUGAUCUGCCCACCUAGCAUUCCAAAGUGCUGGGCUUACAGUUGUGAGCCAUUGUGCCUGGCUGGGUUCUGCUUUUUUGCAUUUUUACAUACAUAUUAUAUAUGUAUACUCACAGAACUAAUAUGGUAUUGUGGAGGUUUUUCCUAAAACAAACGGUAUUGUGACAUAGCCAUCAUUCUCAAAGUUGCUUAUUAACAGAACAUUAUGGAGAUAUAUUUUUCCCCCAUGCCUGAAGGUCUCCCUCAUUCAUUGUAACUGAUACAGAGAAUUCUGUAGUUUGAGCAUGGUUGAUUUAUCCACCCACCUCUUGAGGGUAGAAUCGAUUAAGACUGGUUUCAGUCUGUUGCUUGAAAAUAAAACACUACCCUGAAAUGCCUAGAGGCAGGGUUGCUGGGUCUAAGCCCCCAAACCUUUCUUAUUCACUUGACCUGCCCUCCUAGCUACCUGGUGUUCAAUGUCAUCCCCACGCUGGCCGACAUCAUCAUUGGCAUCAUCUACUUCAGCAUGUUCUUCAACGCCUGGUUUGGCCUCAUUGUGUUCCUGUGCAUGAGUCUUUACCUCAGUGAGUGCUGCUGGGGGACACCAUCUCCCUGAACUAUCCAGGGACUCCCUUGGCCAUGAGCUCUGCCCCCACUCAAGUGACCCACUUAUGGGAGGCUGUGGAUUGGUGGACUUCAAUGGGCUCCUAGUGCUCCUCAUGUGAUGGGCGGGUCUCUUCUGUCAAAUCAAACCUUAACUCAACCUAGCUGAGGGGCUAGGGAAGGACAUUCUUGUCACGUUAAGUCUGAGCUGUGAACACAGGUCAAGGAAGCCUCAUUUGUGUAACAAGAUGCAGCUUGCUUUCAUUUGUUUACCAAAAGCGUUUUCUACACAUGAGGCUUUGUGCAGGCUGCAGAGAUGCCUCCCUGUGGAAUCUGGGUCUCUGGGCUUGAGCAUAGGUUUAGUGUGUACAUGGCAGGUAGUGGACAUGGACAUUUGGUCUCUGCUUUUGGGGAUGAUGUCCUAUUCUGCUCCCCAUCCUGUCACUCUCCAGCCCUGACCAUUGUGGUCACUGAGUGGAGAGCCAAGUUUCGCCGCGCUAUGAACACACAGGAGAACGCUACCCGGGCACGAGCAGUAGACUCUCUGCUAAACUUCGAGACGGUAACAGAGGCCCCGGUGGCAGUGGUUUGAGGCGUGGAGAUGUGGAGGAGUGUGACUAGGACCACUGGGGCUGACAGAGAGCUGGGGGUGUGAUGUUUGUGUGUGAUGUUUGAAAUCAGGAAGGAGGAUUGAGAGUUGGGGGGGAUGACUCGAGUGCCGUGUACUGGGCCCGUGCCAAAUAAAUUUGGUUUGAAUUUAUCAGGUGAAGUAUUACAACGCCGAGAGUUAUGAAGUGGAACGCUAUCGAGAGGCCAUCAUCAAAUAUCAGGGUUUGGAGUGGAAGUCGAGCGCUUCACUGGUUUUACUAAAUCAGACCCAGAACCUGGUGAUUGGGCUCGGGCUCCUCGCCGGCUCCCUGCUUUGCGCAUACUUUGUCAGUGAGCAGAAGCUACAGGUUGGGGACUAUGUGCUCUUUGGCACCUACAUUACCCAGCUGUACAUGCCCCUCAAUUGGUUUGGCACCUACUACAGGAUGAUCCAGACCAACUUCAUUGACAUGGAGAACAUGUUCGACUUGCUUAAAGAGGAGACAGAAGUGAAGGACCUUCCUGGAGCAGAGCCCCUUCGCUUUCAGAAGGGCCGGGUUGAGUUUGAGAACGUGCACUUCAGCUAUGUCGAUGGGCAGGAGACUCUGCAGGACGUGUCUUUCACUGUGAUGCCUGGACAGACACUUGCCCUGGUGGGCCCAUCUGGGGCAGGGAAGAGCACAAUUUUGCGCCUGCUGUUUCGCUUCUAUGACAUCAGCUCUGGCUGCAUCCGAAUAGACGGGCAGGACAUUUCACAGGUGACCCAGGCCUCUCUCCGGUCUCACAUUGGAGUUGUGCCCCAAGACACUGUCCUCUUUAAUGACACCAUCGCUGACAAUAUCCGUUACGGCCGUGUUACAGCUGGGAAUGAUGAGGUGGAGGCUGCUGCUCAGGCUGCAGGCAUCCAUGAUGCCAUUAUGGGUUUCCCUGAAGGGUACAGGACACAGGUGGGCGAGCGGGGACUGAAGCUGAGCGGUGGGGAGAAGCAGCGCGUCGCCAUUGCCCGCACCAUCCUCAAGGCUCCGGACAUCAUUCUGCUGGAUGAGGCAACGUCAGCACUGGAUACAUCUAAUGAGAGGGCCAUCCAGGCUUCUCUGGCCAAAGUCUGUGCCAACCGCACCACCAUCGUAGUGGCACACAGGCUCUCAACUGUGGUCAAUGCUGACCAGAUCCUCGUCAUCAAGGAUGGCUGCAUCGUGGAGAGGGGACGGCAUGAGGCUCUGUUGUCCCGAGGUGGGGUGUAUGCUGACAUGUGGCAGCUGCAGCAACAGGGACAGGAAGAAACCUCUGAAGACACUGAGCCUCAGACCAUGGAACGGUGACAAAAGUUUGGCCACUUCCCUCUCAAAGACUAACCCAGAAGGGAAUAAGAUGUAUCUCCUUUCCCUGGCUUAUUUCAUCCUGGUCUUGGGGUGUGGUGCUAGCUAUAGUAAAGGAAAGGGACCUUUCAGAAAAGCACUUUUUGGGGAAAUAAAAAUGUGGACUGUG